UUCAUUGUAUUCGAUACUUAAAAUUUCCUUAUUUUUAAACUAUAAUUAUUUUUAAUUUCUCUGAUUUCUCAGUAGUAGGCCUCUAUGUGGAUUUGGUUAUGGCCUGUAUUUGCAUGACAGAUUGACAAACACUAAUGAAUCCCCAUUUCUUUCCUGGGGUGCUCUGCAGGUGUUGCUCUCCUGCCUUCUGUUGUGUGUUACUCCUUAGCCUGAUUCUGUUGUUUCUAGUGUGGCUUUGUUUCUGUAGCAGUUUCCUACUCCCACUCUGUUCCCCUGAGCUGUGCUGGCUUAUUUUGACUUUCUCUUCUUUUCUUUCAUCUUUGUCUGUCUUUCAAGCUUCUCAUUCUCUUAGAGAUAAUAGGAUAGUAUAAUAUAAUAAUAUAAUACAAACUUUCUUUUCUCAUUCAUAUGUUGUGCAUUCUUUCUGCUUUUAAAUUAUUUUCUUUUGUUAUUUAGCCGUAUAGUAUUUUCCUAUGGCCUCUGUUUCCUGUCCCAUUUGACUAUUUCUCAUAUUUGAAAAAGGGAAUUUUGUUGUUAUUGCUUUGUGUUUCAACAGCAUCCUGUAAGAGUAAUGUGGGGAGUGUGUUGAUUGAUUGUGUGUCAUCUUGCUGCAUACCCUGUGCUUCGUCAUGUUUUGCACAGCUUUCUCAGCAUUCCUUUUCUCUUGGAGACAAAGCAUCAACUCUAAAAGGCUAGCAGUGAUGUUCUUGUCUGCAUGUUUUUAGGAUUUCCUUGUCCUUCCUGUGGAUGGGUUCUGAGCCUCUUCCUCAGUCUCCACACUGAUGACUUUUUGUUGGAUGCUUUAGAGAAAUACUUCCAACUAUGGAGAGCUGUGCCUUUAGGACCAAAUCUGCGGAGUCAUUUUGGACCAAAUUUCUCUUCAUAGUUUGUACUUUGGUGUUAGGACUUUUCUACUUUUCAUUUUGAGAGAAGAAUGGAAUGUAGAAAUAUCUUUGUUUUGGCUUUUUAACUAUAUGUCUUUUUGUUUUUGGUUUUUUUUUCUUCCUCAAGGGCAUUUUAACUCUGAAAUUAGAGGCUUAUAAGUAAUUUGUUUCUGGUUAUGUGAUGUGGUAAGCCUUAUCCCAAAUGUUUAGGAACUUAGGAGUAAUGAUUCUACUAGCUGUAUUAACUUUAGCUCUAAACAGUCUAGAAGGAGAUUUAUUUUUCUUGGAAUUUUUCAACAUUUUUACUUUUUUUUAAGGAUUUUGGAAUAAGAGCAUUCUAGUAUUUAUGUGAAAAUUAGCAUUUUAUAGUAAAAAUUAGAACACUAAUUUCUAAAGUGGUAUAUUAAAUGUUAAUAUGUCUUAUAAAUUCAUCUGCUUGGGAGACAGAGAUCAGGAGGAUUGUGAUUCGAAGCCAGCCCGGGGCAAAUAGUUCGAGAGACCCUAUUGAAAAAUACCCAAACAAAAAAGGCUGGUGGAGGGUGGCGGCGCGAGAGCAGAGUCCGAGCUGCGGCGGCCCGCGAGUCAUGGCAGGAAAAGCAUUUAGAAAGUUUCUUCCGCUGUUUGACCGAGUAUUGGUAGAAAGGAAUGCAGCCGAGACGGUGACUAAAGGUGGCAUUAUGCUUCCAGAAAAAUCUCAAGGAAAAGUGUUGCAAGCAACAGUAGUGGUUGUGGGGUCAGGCUCCAAAGGAAAGGAUGGAGAGAUCCAACCUGUUAGUGUACAAGUUGGAGAUAAAGUUCUUCUGCCAGAAUAUGGAGGCACCAAAGUGGUUCUAGAUGACAAGGAUUAUUUCUUAUUUAGAGAUGGUGCCAUUCUUGGAAAGUACGUAGACUGAAAUAAAUCACUGAGAUGGCAUCACAUGAAGCUGCCCAUUCCACUGACGUCCUGAAAUCUUUCAUCAUGUAAAUAAUUUCCAUGUGUCUCCCUUUUAUAAUAAACCAAUGAUACCUAAACUGAAAAAAAAAAAAAAAAAAAA